GAAGGUGUUAGGCAUUCCCGAGUUCUGUGGUUCUAGCACGGUCGCUUUGAUCAUACUUGGCUUACUAAAUUGUUUACUUACUCAUUUUGGAACCCAUGUGCUUUCACCUCUUAACCGCUUUUAAAUUAAGAAAAUUAUCUUGGAAACGGGUCACGCGUACGUGUACCCGUUUGGCGCGUCAAAAAUCAUGUCACGCGGACGUGUCCACAAUUAGUGACCCUUUAUUAUUAUGAAGAAAAGUUUGGCCAAAGUUGCGUGAACGCAUACUCUGGUUUGGUUUUUAGAAAUCGUAAUCACGUCACGCGAACGUGUACACAAUCACAAUUGUAUUUUCCUACAAAUAUUCAUUUUAGGAAACGUACUCUUACAAAAAAAAACAUGUUCAUAAGGCUAAUGUUGCCCUAUUAGUUCUAAGCUUCAAAUGUCCCCCCAAAAAACCAUUAUUGAAGUACUGCAAAUUAGAGAAUUCGAAUGCCAGGAAACGACACAUACUAUUGCAAAUUAACACAUGUGAUUCUAACAAAUUCUUAAUGAUGCCUUAAAAAUGAAGGCAAAUUUCAUCCAGAAGCAAUUUAUGCCAAAGUGCCACUCCUAGAGAUCCAGUACAUAUGUGAACAAUUCCCAAUCCAUCGUAUUGUCGUUUACACGAGUAGAUUAACCCUCUAAUUCAAGAAAAAUCCAAUUGAAAUACAAUGUAUUCAGUAUAAUUGAGGGGGAGGGACUUAUCAAUCCUUACUUCAUGGUAUUUUCACAAAAAAAGUGUCCAAAGGGGCUAAAAAUGAUCUAUAGUUGACAAUACAGUAUGAGUGGAUACAAAGUUAAUGAAGUCGAACACAUUUAACAAAAUCAUCAGCACUCAAGAACUUUGUUGAAGUAGAAUGAUGGGAAGGGGUUGUUUUUGGUUGAAGGCCUUCUUCGUUGUUUUAUCAUUUAGGCAGAUGAAUAACAGGGGAAUUUUAUCAAAUCAAAUGGUUUCAACGAUGCUUAAAGUCUGCUACUCUAGACCUCUCAACGCAACAUAUUUGCAUAAGCUCGAACCACCCUCAUAGACUCACAGAAAAAAAAAUAGGAAGAACAGACUUCUCCAAAUCAUUCAAAUCCAUCAAUAGCUCAAUUCGAAGAAGAAGAAGAAGGCAAGCAAAACAAUGUUGAACAGAAUUGCUCAACACAAUGCAGAACAGAAGAGGUUUAACAGCUUAACAAUCCUAGCAAAUGCCCUCAAAACACUGCAUGUUUCAGCCUAAUUCACUGCUCGAAUUAACUGCUUUUAGCAGCACUAAAGAACAGAGCUCUUAGAGAUGUAACAACGUAGAUAACUUCCAAGUAGGAGAAUGAGAAUAGAGCACAUCCAAACAAGUAGUGAAACAACUUAGUUUUAACACUAUUUUAAACCAAGAUUUGAUAAGAAUGGAUCAUCAAGCAGCGUACCACAUUCACACAUUCUGGUAAGCAACAGAGGAUCCUACUGCCUGUGUGAUUUAACAUAAAGAAGCCAAGACAAACUAACAUGGGCUAACUCACUGAGACAUAAACCAAUGUAGAUUAAUGUCAGAUUUUAAAAUCAAACAGAACAUGAUACUACAUGGAUCACUGAGAUUCAAUCCAGACAUUAUUGUUAUCCUAGGAAUACAAGAAGAAUUACCAGGACUGAAUUUUAGGAUUUAAAUAGCAUAUUUCCAGUACAGCAGUCUACAGAACUAUUAAUUAAACCCCUGAACUUUACGGCUCAAACAAGGUACAGCGGAAGGAACAUAGAAGGACUAGAUGAAACCUUAAGUCAAUAACUCCAUCACAUCCUUCCGGAUUUCAAAUGUUAAGCAGGAACAAGAAUUGGGUCAAACUUUCAUGUUUUAAUGUCAUAACAGAAGUAGGAAAAAGGAUACGACUCACGAAUAUACGAACAUUCCUUCGACAUGAGAGCAAUCCAUGAACAUAGACCAAUGAAUCAGAAUCACAGCACACUAUUAACACGAGCACGGAUUAUAUUUCAAUACUUGAAACCUUGGAUUUUCAUGAAUAAUCACAAAACUUCCCUUUUGUUUCCUCAGAAGAA